rnacentral:rRNA from 1 species
GACGAACGCUGGCGGCGUGCCUAAUACAUGCAAGUCGAACGCUUCUUCCCUCCCGAGUGCUUGCACUCAAUUGGAAAGAGGAGUGGCGGACGGGUGAGUAACACGUGGGUAACCUACCCAUCAGUGGGGGAUAACACUUGGAAACAGGUGCUAAUACCGCAUAACAGUUUAUGCCGCAUGGCAUAAGAGUGAAAGGGGCUUUCGGGUGUGGCUGAUGGAUGGACCCGCGGUUCAUUAGCUAGUUGGUGAGGUAACGGCUCACCAAGGCCACGAUGGAUAGCCGACCUGAGAGGGUGAUCGGCCACACUGGAACUGAGACACGGCCCAGACUCCUACGGGAGGCAGCAGUAGGGAAUCUGCGGCAAUGGACGAAAGUCUGACCGAGCAACGCCGCGUGAGUGAAGAAGGUUUUCGGAUCGUAAAACUCUGUUGUUAGAGAAGAACAAGGACGUUAGUAACUGAACGUCCCCUGACGGUAUCUAACCAGAAAGCCACGGCUAACUACGUG